UACGAAGGGGGCUAGCGUUGCUCGGAAUGACUGGGCGUAAAGGGCGCGUAGGCGGCUUGUACAGUCAGAUGUGAAAUUCCUGGGCUCAACCUGGGGGCUGCAUUUGAUACGUAUGAGCUUGAGUGGGGAAGAGGGUCGUGGAAUUCCCAGUGUAGAGGUGAAAUUCGUAGAUAUUGGGAAGAACACCGGUGGCGAAGGCGGCGACCUGGUCCUUGACUGACGCUGAGGCGCGAAAGCGUGGGGAGCAAACAGG
rnacentral:rRNA from 1 species